CCACAUUACGUUUAAACAACAGUUCCCGUACGAUCAUCGAAGUUAAGCAACGUCGGUCCUGGUCAGUAGUUACAUGUGUAACCCCUUGGGAAUGUA